rnacentral:rRNA from 1 species
GACGUAGGGCGCGAGCGUUGUCCGGAUUUAUUGGGCGUAAAGAGCUCGUAGGCGGUCUGUCGCGUCGGCUGUGAAACCCCGAGGCUCAACCUCGGGCCUGCAGUCGAUACGGGCAGACUAGAGUGUGGUAGGGGAGACUGGAAUUCCGGGUGUAGCGGUGGAAUGCGUAGAGAUCCGGAAGAACACCGGUGGCGAAGGCGGCCUGCUGGGCGGCGACUGACGCUGAGGCGCGACAGCGUGGGGAGCAAACAGG